rnacentral:rRNA from 1 species
UACAGAGGUCUCAAGCGUUGUUCGGAUUCAUUGGGCGUAAAGGGUGCGUAGGCGGCGGGGCAAGCCUGAUGUGAAAUCCCGGGGCUCAACCCCGGAACUGCAUUGGAUACUGCCUUGCUAGAGUACUGGAGAGGGAACUGGAAUUUACGGUGUAGCAGUGAAAUGCGUAGAGAUCGUAAGGAAGGCCAGUGGCGAAGGCGAGUUCCUGGACAGUUACUGACGCUGGGACGCACGAAGGCCAGGGGAGCAAACGGG